rnacentral:rRNA from 1 species
ACAGCAGCAGCCGCGGUAAUACGAAGGGUGCAAGCGUUACUCGGAAUUACUGGGCGUAAAGCGUGUGUAGGUGGUUGUUUAAGUCUGUCGUGAAAGCCCUGGGCUCAACCUGGGAAUUGCGAUGGAUACUGGGCGACUAGAGUGCGGUAGAGGAUAGUGGAAUUUCCGGUGUAGCAGUGAAAUGCGUAGAGAUCGGAAGGAACAUCUGUGGCGAAGGCGACUAUCUGGGCCAACACUGACACUGAGACACGAAAGCGUGGGGAGCAAACAGGAUUAGAUACCCGUGUAGUCCCUGUCUCUUAUAC